ACUCAAUAGAUACCCGGGUAGUCCACGCCCUAAACGAUGUCUACUAGUUGUUGGUGGAGUAAAAUCCAUGAGUAAACGCAGCUAAACGCGUGGAGUAGACCGCCUGGGGAGUACGGUCGCAAGAUUAAAAACUCAAAGGAAUUGACGGGGGCCCGCACAAGCGGUGGAUUAUGUGGAUUAAAUUCGAUGCAACGCGAAAAACCUUACCUGGCCUUGACAUGCCACUAACGAAGCAGAGAUGCAUUAGGUGCCCGUAAGGGAAAGUGGACACAGGUGCUGCAUGGCUGUCGUCAGCUCGUGUCGUGAGAUGUUGGGUUAAGUCCCGCAACGAGCGCAACCCUUGCCAUUAAUUGCCAUCAUUUAGUUGGGCACUUUAAUGGGACUGCCGGUGACAAACCGGAGGAAGGUGGGGAUGACGUCAAGUCCUCAUGGCCCCUACUGGCCAGGGCUUCACACGUAAUACAAUGGUCGGUACAGAGAGUUGCCAACCCGCGAGGGGAGCUAAUCUCAGAAAGCCGACCGUAGUCCGGAUUGUUCU
rnacentral:rRNA from 1 species